CAAAAUUCCCAAACAGACCACAGAAUACUGAAUGUGAAAAUGAAGUGUAUGGGUACCUCGCGUUUUGAGCAGAAGGCUGCUAAUUUCUCACGUGAUCUUUAUCAAGAAGUACAGAAUCAGUGAGCAGCAUACAGCUACAGGAACAUGUCUCAGGUGGGUUGUGAAUUAUACAGCCAGAUGGCCUCACCUCCCCCAGGACUGUUACAAAGUCAUAUACAUUC
rnacentral:lncRNA from 1 species